GUUGAAGUUUCCAAGGGCGCACGGUGGAUGCCUUGGCAUCGGGAGCCGAUGAAGGACGUGGGAAUCUGCGAUAAGCCUGGGGGAGUCGAUAACCGGACUGUGAUCCCAGGGUGUCCGAAUGGGGGAACCCCGCCGCACUUGAUGCGGUGACCCGCCGUUGAACGCAUAGACGGUGUGGGGGGAACGCGGGGAAGUGAAACAUCUCAGUACCCGCAGGAAGAGAAAACAAGAGUGAUUCCGUCAGUAGUGGCGAGCGAACGCGGAUGAGGCCAAACUGUGCGCGUGUGAUACCCGGCAGGGGUUGCGCGCAUGGGGUUGUGGGGCCUUCCUUUCGACUGUCUGCCGGCGGUCGGGGGUGUUGCGGGGGUGUAGGCGAACGGUCUUGAACGGCCGGCCGGAGAGGGUGUGAGUCCCGUAGCCGGAACGCCUGCCGCAGCCCUGGGGGGGUGCCCGAGUAGCACGGGGCCCGAGGAAUCCCGUGUGAAUCUGUCAGGACCACCUGAUAAGCCUGAAUACUACCCGAUGACCGAUAGCGGACCAGUACCGUGAGGGAAAGGUGAAAAGUACCCCGGGAGGGGAGUGAAACAGUACCUGAAACCGUGCGCCUACAAACCGUCAGAGCAGGCUUGUUCCUGUGAUGGCGUGCCUUUUGAAGAAUGAGCCUGCGAGUCAGUGCCACGUCGCGAGGUUAACCCGUGUGGGGGAGCCGUAGCGAAAGCGAGUCUGAACAGGGCGUUCAGUGGCGUGGUCUGGACCCGAAGCGGAGUGAUCUACCCAUGGCCAGGUUGAAGCGACGGUAAGACGUCGUGGAGGACCGAACCCACUUCAGUUGAAAAUGGAGGGGAUGAGCUGUGGGUAGGGGUGAAAGGCCAAUCAAACUCCGUGAUAGCUGGUUCUCCCCGAAAUGCAUUUAGGUGCAGCGUUGCGUGUUUCUUGCCGGAGGUAGAGCUACUGGAUGGCCGAUGGGCCCCACAAGGUUACUGACGUCAGCCAAACUCCGAAUGCCGGCAAGUGAGAGCGCAGCAGUGAGACUGCGGGGGAUAAGCUUCGCAGUCGAGAGGGAAACAGCCCGGACCACCGGCUAAGGCCCCCAAGCGUGUGCUAAGUGGGAAAGGAUGUGGAGUUGCGAAGACAACCAGGAGGUUGGCUUAGAAGCAGCCACCCUUGAAAGAGUGCGUAAUAGCUCACUGGUCAAGUGAUUCCGCGCCGACAAUGUAGCGGGGCUCAAGCACACCGCCGAAGCCGUGGCAGUCCCACAGUACCCAAGCCCUCAGGGGUUCAGGGGUGGGGCUGGGUAGGGGAGCGUCGUGCGGGCAGUGAAGCCUCCGAGUGAUCGAGGGGUGGAGGCCGCACGAGUGAGAAUGCAGGCAUGAGUAGCGAAAGACGGGUGGGAAACCCGUCCGCCGGAUGAUCAAGGGUUCCAGGGUCAAGCUCAUCUGCCCUGGGUAAGUCGGGACCUAAGGCGAGGCCGACAGGCGUAGUCGAUGGACAACGGGUCGAUA
rnacentral:rRNA from 1 species